rnacentral:rRNA from 1 species
UGCAGUUCGAGCGGACAGAUGGGNGCUUGCNNNCUGAUGUUAGCGGCGGACGGGUGAGUAACACGUGGGUAACCUGCCUGUAAGACUGGGAUAACUCCGGGAAACCGGGGCUAAUACCGGAUGGUUGUCUGAACCGCAUGGUUCAGACAUAAAAGGUGGCUUCGGCUACCACUUACAGAUGGACCCGCGGCGCAUUAGCUAGUUGGUGAGGUAACGGCUCACCAAGGCGACGAUGCGUAGCCGACCUGAGAGGGUGAUCGGCCACACUGGGACUGAGACACGGCCCAGACUCCUACGGGAGGCAGCAGUAGGGAAUCUUCCGCAAUGGACGAAAGUCUGACGGAGCAACGCCGCGUGAGUGAUGAAGGUUUUCGGAUCGUAAAGCUCUGUUGUUAGGGAAGAACAAGUGCCGUUCAAAUAGGGCGGCACCUUGACGGUACCUAACCAGAAAGCCACGGCUAACUACGUGCCAGCAGCCGCGGUAAUACGUAGGUGGCAAGCGUUGUCCGGAAUUAUUGGGCGUAAAGGGCUCGCAGGCGGUUUCUUAAGUCUGAUGUGAAAGCCCCCGGCUCAACCGGGGAGGGUCAUUGGAAACUGGGGAACUUGAGUGCAGAAGAGGAGAGUGGAAUUC